rnacentral:rRNA from 1 species
GCCUAAAGAAAAGCUCGCGGCUGAUUAGCUUGUUGGUAAGGUAAUGGCUUACCAAGGCGACGAUCAGUAUCUGGUUUGAGAGGACGAUCAGACACACUGGAACUGAGACACGGUCCAGACUCCUACGGGAGGCAGCAGUGGGGAAUUUUCCGCAAUGGGCGAAAGCCUGACGGAGCAAUACCGCGUGAGGGAAGACGGCCUAUGGGUUGUAAACCUCUUUUUUCAGGGAGGAACAAAAUGACGUGUACCUGAAGAAUAAGCAUCGGCUAACUCCGUGCCAGCAGCCGCGGUAAGACGGAGGAUGCAAGUGUUAUCCGGAAUCACUGGGCGUAAAGCGUCUGUAGGUGGUUUGUUAAGUCAACUGUUAAAUCUUGAGGCUCAACUUCAAAUCAGCAGUCGAAACUAUCGGACUAGAGUAUAGUAGGGGUGAAGGGAAUUUCCAGUGGAGCGGUGAAAUGCGUAGAUAUUG